ensembl:lncRNA
AUUCAAAUAGAAGUGUUGUAUUAAUCUCAUUAAUUGUCAUGUGUAGCUUGAAGCUAAUUGUAAUUUCUCUCUUACCCAUAUAUGAUAUUUUAUUAUGUAUUUUAUCAAAUCACAUAAGUUUGUAAGAAACUGUUUAAUUUUCCAAAAAGAUUUUUAAUCAUAGGAAUAUAAUGUUCCACAUGCUGGUCAGAGGGAUGUGGGUGGAAUGUAAAGCCAGACUAAAGUAAAGCCACAACUUACACAACAGUGUUCAGAUCAUCUGUUUUCCUGACACAAUCAUUAUAAUGCAAUAUUUCUGUCUGACAUCACAUGCAUGUGUGAGUCAUGAAAAUUAUGAAACUAAAUCUAGGAAUUAUUUGAUUGUUGGAUUUUAAAUCAGCGCCGUUGAGGCAUCAAAAGUAACUAAGCACCUAGCUGUUUUAUGGAUGGUAACUGUAAUGUUAUUACUAAAAUAUUAUUAGUAAGUAGUAACACUACUAGUUACUGAAAAAAGUAAUAUUAUUACAGUAACUUAGUUAUUGCCCAACACUGGUCUUCAAUGAUCUAUAGAACACUGUUCCUGCCCUGCUCACUCUUCACCUCCAUUCUUGCUCUCACACACAUACACAAAAAUGCGUGUGCACUCACACACACUCAGACAAACUUUGAUCUUCCUAUGCCCACAGAGUAGAUAAGGAUGAAAGAGGUGUGGAAAAGUAUUGUCUUCUUGACCUUUUGAAGUAUGUGACUGAAGUUCAGAGAAAAACAGCAGCAAGAUUUGUUCAGCCAAUUAAAUGUAAUGAAACAAAUAGUGAUAUUUUUAGAUAUUGACAAGUAUAAGUAUCUUCUUAAAUGAAACCUAAAAUUCUACUUUUUUCUUUCAUGGUAGAUCAAGAUGCAGAAGAAAGUGCUGUUCUUCCCAGGGAGAAUCUGUGUUGUGUUCCGCAAGGGACCACUCGGAUUUCUCCUCCAGGAGCCAUCUAAAGAAGCCAGACGUAUUAAGGAUGAUCCCACUCUGCAGGACAAGUCUGCGCCCAUAAGACAGGACCUUGUGCAGCAGAAUGCUCUGUCUGUGGUCGUUCAGAGAGGAGGGGAUGCCUCUGACAGGACGGAGGUCCUGGGAGACUACAUCCUGCAAUUUGGAAAGUAUAAAGGGAAGUCCUUUAGAUGGCUUUUAGAGAAUGAUGUAGGGUACACUAUGUAUCUCAUCAAGAAUCUUCAGAAGGAGGAGGCGUCAGGCAUCCCUGUGGCCGAGGGGCAUGGCAAGGACAGUCUACUGUCAUUUGUUAAUUAUGCCCUUAGUUUUGAAGAGAUCCAGUCUCUUCUCACCUAUGAGGCCAGUGGAGUGGGUGUUGGGGCAGCCUCAUCGGAAGAUGACCAGCUGGUUGGCUUUGGUUCCCGGGCCAAGAGCACCUGGAAGGAGAUAUGGGAUAGCAGAGCUGAUGGCUACGCAGACUUCAUCAUGAAGAAGAGCUGCGUCCCAGGGACACGCAUGUACAAGCUGCAGCAAUACCUGCGGAAGAGGCAGCAAUCUGCCACUGCUUCCAUACCUGCUGAACAUACCUCAAGGGCCCCAGCAAAACCCCUGGUGAUGGAUGAUGAUGAAGAGCUGGAGAGAGCGAUGUUGAGCAUCUCACCCUCUAAGCUUCAAGUGCAGAGCUUUGCUGUGCCAGCAGCAGUAGCAGCAGCUGCCAUACCCAGAGUGUCACCAGGAGCAAAGACAGGUUUUUAAAUAAGAGGUUUCAGGACUGGAGUAAGAUGAAUUGCCCUCCAAAACUGAACCUUGACUUAAACUGUUAUAUUGUUUGCGUUCUGGCCAUGUUCCUCCAACAAUAUGGUUGUAUGCUGGCAUUAUACUAACUGUCCUAAGGACUAUGAAUUCCUGCCAUGAUGAAUUACAACCACAAUGAGGGUAAGUGUGCAUUUUUCUGCAUUCAUGUUGUUUAAAGGUACUAACACUUGAAUGCAUGCUUUUUCACUGAGUCAUAUUGCUCCUCCUGCUUAGACUAGUGAGUAGUUUUU